rnacentral:rRNA from 1 species
CCUACGGGUGGCAGCAGUGAGGAAUAUUGGUCAAUGGCCGGAAGGCUGAACCAGCCAAGCCGCGUGAGGGACGAAUGCCCUAAGGGUUGUAAACUUCUUUUAUAAGGGAAGAAUAAAUGGCACGUGUACCUUGACGCGUGUACUUUAUGAAUAAGCAUCGGCUAACUCCGUGCCAGCAGCCGCGGUAAUACGGAGGAUGCGAGCGUUAUCCGGAUUUAUUGGGUUUAAGGGGUGCGUAGGCGGGCUUUUAAGUUAGUGGUAAAAGGCCGGGGCUCAACCCUGAUUUGCCAUUGAAACUGGAAGACUCGAGAUGAGGCGAGGUAGGCGGAAUGAGUAGAGUAGCGGUGAAAUGCUUAGAUAUUGCGUAGAACUCCGAUGGCGAAGGCAGCAUACCGGCC